UCUGUCUAUUUGUGUUAGGGUUUUGCCCCCUCUGUCGCGUUGUUUUUCACCUUUUUUCGUCUCGUUAGAUCCAACCAUGGAUUUUAUUAUUUUGGUCCUCGAGGAGGGUUGUCUAUUUUCGCCGAGUAUAAAGACUCGAUAAAGGGCUGGGCUGAGGCCUUUAUAAUAGUCAAGCUGAAAGAGAGCUCAGGAAUCAACUGUGAUAUUGAUCUCUCUUGGGGGGAAGUCCCUCAAGGCUCAGGGCUAUAACAACUUUCCUAGGCUGACCCUGUUGGACCAAGUCUACCUUCUCCGACUGACUUCUAUAUGGAAGAAGUAUGACGUCAAGAAGUGUAUAUUCAUGUCCAACCUCCGGGACUACCGGAAAACUGCUUCUGCCAUUCCCAUGGACAACAUUAAGCUCCCGAAGAACUUUUCCAUGUACUGGGAGAGCAUGAAGGCCACACUAGAUGCCUUCAAGGCUGGAAAAACUGUGGCGGACAUGACCAGAGAGGUCUUUCAGGCUGUGGCCCCUGCUACAGCAAAUCGGACUACUACCCUUGCUCCAACUUUGGCGUUGGUACCUGCUGCAGGGGGUUCUCGAUCUGCAACUUCGAGGGCCUCCAUCCCUACUAAGGCGUCGGCUCUAGCCAAAUCUUCGGCAGCUCCUAAGUCGGCCUCCAAGGAGCCUAUUGUUAUCAGCGAGUCUGUUGAGAGCAGUUCAAAGGAGGGUACUGGGGUUGCCUUUUGGAUGUCCCACCUCUCCAAGUUGUGGGGGCCAUUGUGAUUGGAAAGGCAGCUAGCAAGCGGGCCCGGACCUUAGAGCCUGCAGCUGAAGGUAGGGCUGCCAAGCGAGCUUGUGCUACAGAGCCUAUGAAGACAGCUCCUCCCCCCUCCACUUACAAAGAGAAGAAGGUAGUGGAGCAGUUGUACUCAGCUCCUGAAACUGAGCUCUUGAAUGCUGCUGAAGUGACUCCUAAAUCUAUGUCGGCCUUAGCAGCUUGGCUCUCAUCAGCCACCUUGCCUGCUCCACCAAGCAACAGGCGGCGUUCAAUACUCGUUCUUUGGAUGACCUCGGGGAUAGCUUGAGGGAUAUGUUCCUCAUGGCCUUCGAGGUAUUCCUUGAGAUUGAUGCUCGUAACCAGUCUUUUCAGAGCUCGGUAGAGCAGUGUAUUGCUAAGGAGCACUGGGAUGAAAACAUUAUUUCUACUGGUGAGGCAUGCAGAUAAAUCAUUGAGUUCAAAGGGGUUAUUGAGGACCUCACCAAGCAAAUGGGGGAGAUGAGGGAAGAGGUUGCCCAGCCUCCCAACGAGUUUCUACGGCUGAUUCUCAACGAGGUGAGGCCUUGUCACAACUAUCCUCUUUGGAGGAUUCUUGCCAUCAGUGUGAUGAGGCCAUGGCCUAGCGUGAUGAGGCCUUAGCUCGCACUGAUGUCCUCUAGCAGGAGCUCAACAAGCACAUCGAGGACCUAAAAGGUAUGGCUUCGGCAGCGGAGGAAUCUCAUCUCCAGCAAGAGCUCAACGGGCACAUCAAGGACCUGAAAGGCAUGGCUUCGGUGGCGGAGGAAUCUCGUCUUCAACAAGAACAACUCCGUCCAGAGGUCAUCGCUUUGGAGGAGAGAUGUUCUACCUUACUAAAGGAUGCCAGGGUUAUAGAGGAUAAGGUCCAGCAGGCUUGUGAGGAGCAUUUGCGAGAGCACAAGGACUCUGCGGAGCUGAAAAGCAAGAUCCAGCAGGCCUUUGAAGCAUGAUUGGAAGAGUAUAAGGCCUCUAUGGAGAUGAAAGAGACAGUGUACAAAGAGACCUUUUGCAUGUUCGCUUCGAGCUAUAAUCAGGGCCUUAAGUCCGCUAGGGAUGCCCCUUCCACUCCAUUGGCAGACUUAUGAGCCCCUAAAGUGGACUUUGAUGGUGAGGAGGUGCACUACGGAGAGGAUGACAACCCUUUUCCCAAGAAUACUCCUCGCUUACCUUCUGGACCUCAAGGGAAGGACACUGUAAAUAAACCCUUAAAUGACUUAGUUUGUUCUGGUUCUUCCUCUCCUGCUACCUCUGUGACUCAUUCCAAUAAUUAAUAAAGAUUUAUAUUUCAUUAUUUCCCCCCUGUCUAUUUUUGUUUUUUGAGCUUAUUGAAUUUAUUUGUAUGUCUGUACUUGAGUUGUUAACUUGUGAAUGUUGCCGAGUUGCCAGCUCGUUAACUUUGAUUUGUUUGUAUUUGUAUACUUAGACUAUUUUCGUAUAUACAACUUGUGGACUUCCUGAGCUGGCAACCCGUGAGCUCUACCAGGCUGUUAGCUUGUUUAAAUUAAUUUGUUUAUGUUUAUACACUUAGGCUGUUUUUAUGUAUAUAGCCUGUGAGCUCUACUGGGCCAUCAGCUCAUUUAACUUAAUUUAUUUAUGUAUAUAUAUACUCAGGCUGUUUUUAUGUAUACAGCCUGUGAGCUCUGCCGGACUGUCAACUCGUUAAUCUUGCCUUAUGCAUAUUGCAUUUUUCCUAUUUUGUUAUUUCUCCUUUUUACUGAAUGCCUUGGUACUUUUUGCUUUCUGUUUCCUUGAAACCUUUAUUUUGGGCUAAAGUUUGGUUUUCGCUUGUACUACUCUUUAGCUAGCUGAGUUUUUUAAUUUUUUCCUUCGUGUACUUGUUUAUGGAGUUUAACAAUAAAGCUUAUUUUUAUCUUAAUUUUGCUUUGGUUUUAUUUGCCUAAGGACCUUAAGGGCACCGGGCUCCUUUUUGAGGUCGGUCUGGCAUUUUGGCUCAGUGAGCCUUAAAUUAGCUUUUCCAUAUGCAACAUUGUUUCAUGAAGUGGGCAUUAGAAUGCCUUAAGUUAAUUUUUUUAUACGCCGGGUAUUUUUAUGAUAUCGGAAUCUCAUUUUCCAAUGAUUCAAGCC